UACCCUUGGUGUCAGAUCCAAUUUAAGAGA
rnacentral:piRNA from 1 species